rnacentral:rRNA from 1 species
GACGAACGCUGGCGGCAUGCCUAAUACAUGCAAGUCGAACGAGAACUCCGGGUCCUGUGGCGUACGGGUGCGUAACGCGUCGGAACAGUCCCUCAGGUUUGGACUAACUCCACGACAGGGGUGACAUCACCGGACCAUGUCUAAGGCCCAAUGAUUUAUUGCAUUUGGUUGGGCCCGAGUUGGAUUCGCUAGUUGUGAGGGUAAAAGCCUACCAAGGCGACGAUCCAUAGCUGGUCUGAGAGGAUGAUCAGCCACACUGGGAUUGGGACACGGCCCAGACUCCUACGGGAGGCAGCAGUGGGGAAUAUUGGACAAUGGGGGGAAGGCUGAUCCAGCAAUGCCGCGUGAAUGAUGAAAGCCUUAGGGUUGUAAAGCGCUAUUACCCGGGAUGAUAAUGACAGUACCGAGAGAAUAAGCUCCGGCUAACUCCGUG